rnacentral:rRNA from 1 species
CAAUAGCGUAUAUUAAAGUUGUUGCAGUUAAAAAGCUCGUAGUCGGACUUCUGGCCGUGAGCGCGGGUCCGCCGCAAGGUGUGCACUCGCGUUGGCGGCCAUCCUCUCGAGGAGGCGGCGUGCUCUUUAUUGAGUGUGUCGUCGACUCGGGACCUUUACUUUGAAAAAAUUAGAGUGUUCAAAGCAGGCCUUCGCUUGAAUACAUUAGCAUGGAAUAAUGGAAUAGGACUUUGGUUCUAUUUUGUUGGUUUCUAGGACCGAAGUAAUGAUUAAUAGGGAUAGUUGGGGGCAUUAGUAUUUAAUUGUCAGAGGUGAAAUUCUUGGAUUUAUGAAAGACUAACAUCUGCGAANGNAUUUGCNAAGGAUGUUUNCAUUG